rnacentral:rRNA from 1 species
UACGAAGGGGGCUAGCGUUGCUCGGAAUCACUGGGCGUAAAGGGUGCGUAGGCGGGUCUUUAAGUCCGGGGUGAAAUCCUGGAGCUCAACUCCAGAACUGCCUUUGAUACUGAGGAUCUUGAGUUCGGGAGAGGUGAGUGGAACUGCGAGUGUAGAGGUGAAAUUCGUAGAUAUUCGCAAGAACACCAGUGGCGAAGGCGGCUCACUGGCCCGAUACUGACGUUGAGGCACGAAAGCGUGGGGAGCAAACAGG